CAAUAGCGUAUAUUAAAGUUGUUGCGGUUAAAAAGCUCGUAGUUGGAUUUCUGCCGAGGACGACCGGUCCGCCCUCUGGGUGAGUAUCUGGCUCGGCCUGGGCAUCUUCUUGGAGAACGUAGCUGCACUUGACUGUGUGGUGCGGUAUCCAGGACUUUUACUUUGAGGAAAUUAGAGUGUUUCAAGCAGGCUUACGCCUUGAAUACAUUAGCAUGGAAUAAUAAGAUAGGACCUCGGUUCUAUUUUGUUGGUUUCUAGAGCUGAGGUAAUGAUUAAUAGGGAUAGUUGGGGGCAUUCGUAUUUAACUGUCAGGGGUGAAAUUCUUGGAUUUGUUAAAGACGGACUACUGCGAAAGCAUUUGCCAAGGAUGUUUNCAUUG
rnacentral:rRNA from 1 species